UGGGUCUGAAAUUAUACCCUGUACACUUCUCUCAGACACAUAGUGCCAUAUCUUCUCUCUAAUACUUCAACUAAUGAAGAAUAACAGCUUCUCUCCUCCACAGACAACUGGCUCAGUGCCUUUAGCGCAGUGCCCUUUAGACUAGCAGCAAGCUGAACUGCUCUUUGCCCAUCCUCCCAUCCAUUCUGGUCAGCCAAUAGCUCAAACUGGACAUGAUAAACCUUUCAAGACACUUU